rnacentral:rRNA from 1 species
AACGAACGCUGGCGGCGCGUCUUAAGCAUGCAAGUCGAACGGCAAGAUUGGUGCUUGCACCGAUCCUAGAGUGGCGGACUGGUGAGUAACGCGUGGGUGACGUACCCUUCAGUUGGGGAUAGCUACUAGAAAUAGUAGAUAAUACCGAAUACGAUUCCUAUUGUUAGAGGGUAGGAAUGAAAGGAGCUAAGGCUUUGCUGAAGGAACGGCCCGCGUACCAUUAGCUAGUUGGUGUGGUAACGGCAUACCAAGGCGGUGAUGGUUACCCGGCCUAAGAGGGUGAUCGGGCACAUUGGGACUGAGAUACGGCCCAG